UACGUAGGGGCUAGCGUUAUCCGGAAUUACUGGGCGUAAAGGGUGCGUAGGCGGUCUUUCAAGCCAGAAGUGAAAGGCUACGGCUCAACCGUAGUAAGCUUUUGGAACUGUAAGACUUGAGUGCAGGAGAGGAGAGUGGAAUUCCUAGUGUAGCGGUGAAAUGCGUAGAGAUUAGGAAGAACACCAGUGGCGAAGGCGAUUCUCUGGACUGUAACUGACGCUGAGGCUCGAAAGCAUGGGGAGCAAACAGGAUUAGAUACCCCCGUAGUCCCUGA
rnacentral:rRNA from 1 species